rnacentral:rRNA from 1 species
ACGCUGGCGGUAGGCUUAACACAUGCAAGUCGUGCGAGAAAGUAUCUUCGGAUAUGAGUAGAGCGGCGGACGGGUGAGUAACGCGUAGGAAUCUACCUAGUAGAAGGGGAUAGCCCGGGGAAACUCGGAUUAAUACCGUAUACCUCCUUCGGGAGAAAGAAGGCCUCUCUUUGAAGCUUUCGCUAUUAGAUGAGCCUGCGUAAGAUUAGCUUGUUGGUGAGGUAAAGGCUCACCAAGGCAACGAUCUUUAGCGGGUCUGAGAGGACGAUCCGCCACAUUGGGACUGAGACACGGCCCAGACUCCUACGGGAGGCAGCAGUGGGGAAUAUUGGACAAUGGGCGCAAGCCUGAUCCAGCCAUACCGCGUGUGUGAAGAAGGCCCUAGGGUUGUAAAGCACUUUAAGUUGGGAAGAAAAGUUAUUGGUUAAUAUCCAAUGACCGUGACAUUACCAUCAGAAUAAGGACCGGCUAAUUCCGUGCCAGCAGCCGCGGUAAUACGGAAGGUCCAAGCGUUAAUCGGAAUUACUGGGCGUAAAGCGCGCGUAGGUGGUUUAUUAAGUUGGAUGUGAAAUCCCCGGGCUCAACCUGGGAACUGCAUCCAAAACUAAUUCACUAGAGUACGAUAGAGGGAGGUAGAAUUCACAGUGUAGCGGUGGAAUGCGUAGAUAUUGUGAAGAAUACCAAUGGCGAAGGCAGCCUCCUGGAUCUGUACUGACACUGAGGUGCGAAAGCGUGGGUAGCGAACAGGAUUAGAUACCCUGGUAGUCCACGCCGUAAACGAUGUCAACUAGCUGUUGGAAAACUAUGUUUUUCAGUGGCGCAGCUAACGUAGUAAGUUGACCGCCUGGGGAGUACGGCCGCAA